ensembl:lncRNA
CACUGGGUGGCGACAAAGUAGAGGAAAAGGCAGCACAAGGGUACAGAAAACAAAAGUGUAUUUUAAUUGCGUAGUAUGUCACAGAAAGACAUUAAAUAAAGCACACAUUAUCUAUUUAUUCAGCACAAGUUGUUCACAGAAGUAAUGAUUCCCUUCAGUCGGCCAGUGUCCGUCCUUUUAUAUUUCUGUUCUGCAUCAGACACUGUGUUUUUCUGUUACCACACAGGAAAGAAAUGUGCAAUAAAACCAGUGUUUCUUCAUAAGCGGCAAAACACUGUCCUGUUGUGUUUUCACGACAGUAAAGUAUGAACACACACUAGUCCACUGACUGUAUGUGUUUCUGUGGUGGUCUUGACACUAGUUCAUCUGCACCUGAGCGUACACACAUUCCUCUUGUGUUUUACUCGGCUGCUGUUUAACGUUUGAGCUGCUGAACGUAACCUCUCCAUAAUGAAGCUCUUGCUCCUUCUUCUCAUUCCUGUUUGUCUGAGCGUCCGUCGAGGUGUUUUCCACAUCUAUAGACAGAGAGGAAGAACGAUGAACAGAUGAGAUUAUAAACAAGAUUAUUUAUGUUGUGUAAAUGCUGAAAGUACAUUAAGUAUCUUGUGUUUGCAGAUUUAAGGAAGGUCAGCAGUCACCUGAGACCAGGGUUCAAAAUCACAUUGAACUAGGGAUGAAUUUAUUUAUCAUGAUAAAUAUUUCUUAUAUAAAGAAUAAAACUUAUUGUGAAUUAUUAUUUCAUUAAGUAUAUUUUGUCCCUUUUGUCUUUAUUUUCAUAUUUAUACACUUUAUACUGUAUACUUGUGCUUUUGUUUUAUUUAUACUACUUGUUUUAAAUGCAAUAUUUAUGUAUUUACAUUCUUUUUUAUUUGCAUAUAUUUUUAACAAAAACGUUGAGACUCAUGGUGACUGUCAUGUUGUCAUCUUCGUGACUCAGUGUCAGGACUGUGGUGACACAAGAUGUUACAACACUAAACAGAAAAAACCCUUGCUAGACUUACUGUACUUGAGCAGGGUGUUUUUAUCACUUUUUCUCUCACCACUGUCUCAAGCUUCUAUAAUUCAGACUAAAUGUCAUGAGUCAGACUGUGACUUCCUGCCAGAGUCAGUAAGUUUUGGGAGUUAAAAAGACCAUAACCUCCCAAAAGGGUUGAAUUCUAAUUACUGUUUUUAUAUAUAUAUAUAUUUUUAAGUAAAAGUUUAUGGAAAUCAUGACAGUCACUGUUUUUUUUUUUUUUUUCUAUGGCAGAGCAUUUGCAUCUUGGAUUUAAUUAAUUGAGAUCAAUUAGUCUACACUCUCAGAAAAAAAGGUACAAAGGUUGUCACUGGGAGUGUAUGUACAUCAGGGCAGGAUUUUCAUUUUAUGUAUGAAAAAAAAACAACAACUUUAUUUUAUGUUACUAUUAUAUGUUACUUUAUUUUAAGGUGUCCUUAUUACACAGGCUACAUGUACUUACUAUUAUAAUAACAUUUAACUAUGCAUAAUUACAUGCAAGUAAGACAAACCCUAAUCCUAACUCUAACCAUGUAGUAAGUACAUGUAGUAAAUUAAUAUUACUCAGUACUUAAAUGUAUAAUUGCACUAUAAUAAGGACACUUUAAAAUAAAGUGUUACCAAAACUUUUAGCGGCUGCUAAAUUAUUCCCUGGGCAACAGCGACAGUUUGUGUAUGAUCUGCAGAUUAG